GGCCUGGUGGUGUAAAGGACAACAUGUCUUUGAUUCAUAUAAACCUCACUGUUGAAUAAGAAGAAGCACCCCGUUCGAUUCGGGGCCAGGCCA